AUAUAUAUACAUACAUAAACACGUACGUAUAUUAUAUACGUGCGUACGAUACAAUGUAUAAUACACAGGACAGUGUGUUGUAUCACGGUAUAUUUUAAUAUGCAUAUUGGAGGAAAGUCGUUUUCUAUACAAAAAAAAAAAGAAAAGUCGAAAAUUGUUGAUCUCUAGUCUGUCCGAGUGUUUGUCCCUCUGAAUUAUUCAAAAGCGAAAGACGAGACGAUUUCAUAAAUCGUUGUAAAUAUUCGAGAACUCGAAUCGAAUAGAUUGAAACGGAAGCAAUAGGAACGUUCGGUUACAUCGAGCAUAUUGUAACGUUACCUUGAUAUUUAUACAUUGUGCUGUACCGAUUUCCCGAUGAACAAACUGAGACUGUAAGAGGUAAAACGCCAACGAAAACGAAAGCAGUGAACUAAUCUUGCCACGAUUAUUACAAUUUGCCGGCGAAGAAUAUGACGGGUCGCAUUUUCCGUGUUGCGAACCUCGGUACGUUGCCAAUUAAUUUUGUUAAAAUUGUAAAAAUUCGUAUAUUUCUCGACUAGAAAUAUAUCGAAAGACGUUCAAACAUUGGAGACAAGAUGUUAAUCACUUUUUCACUGGAUCGAACGUGUUUUCUUUCCAUAAAAUAUUUCUUCUCAGUCGUGAAGUGACAAAAAUGUGCUCGCCAUGUUCUUUCCUGUAAUCUUCGAUCAAACGCGCGUAUAAUUAACCCAUUAACUGUCGUGCGGCCUCUCUCUCUCGAAACUUUUGCAUAAUUUUAUACAAAAUUUAAUCAAUGGACUUGGUCGAAGUGUUGUAUUUUUGAACUGGAGCUUUCCUUUGAUCGCUUUUUAUUCCCGAAACCGAGGGCUGUGACAGUUAGUUGGUUAAUUGAUACACGUACAUACAGAUUUGUGUAUUAUUUAUAAGUUAUAAAUAAACUGUGGAUGUUUGAACAACAUGUUUCACAUAUUUUCGUGAAAAGGCAUAUGCACACGUGCACGCGUUACACGUCGCUUUUGUAUCCGUGUCACUGUGAUUUGGCUGCGGUUCGUAGAUGAAUAAAAUCGCCAAACAAUUGCGCGACGCUGGCGAUGCAAAUAACAAAUGAAAACGAUCAUUGUUGCAAUUGCAAUCGCUUAGAGCGUGUGUCGCAACGGUGGCGCGAGUUGCUUAAAAAUUUAACGUAUUCAUUAACAGCGUAUUUGCCCCACUGUUCGUGCAUAUUUGCAUAUUUUUCGUGCAUAUUUGCACACGCAAGUUUCGCACAUUUGCAUAUUUGCCUACUUUUCGUACAUAUUUGUAAAUGCACAAGGCGUGUGCGCACGUGCACGUGAAGCAAUAAGCAAAUAUGCACGGAAAAAUAGGCAAAUAUGGACGAAACGGUAGGGGAAAAAAUCCCCGUCAAAAGCGAGACGCGGUAUUUGCAUAUCUUUUCGUGCGUAAUUGCGUAUAUUUUUUUUCUUUUUUUAUUUUUUUUUUCGUGCACGAACAUCCGCAGUCUAGUUAUAAACGUUUGUGCACGGUAAUGACGGAGUUGGCGAAUUAAGCUCCGCGGGGACGCGGAUUUAUCGAACUGAUCAGCGCGGCAGUAAGUUCGUUGAACGCGGCUGCCUCGUUCCGUGACCUUCCCUCUUUCCGAUUCUCGCCAUUCCGGUGAAUCCCCGAUGCCACCGCUCUUUUCCCCUCUCUUUCGCCAUUUCGCUUGCCCAGCCGUAUAUCUCGCAAUUAUCGUCAUCUACCAACCUCGUCGCCAUCGUAAUCGUAAUCGCAAUCGCAAUCGUCAUCGUCAUCGUCAUCGUGUUCCUUAAAAAAAAAAAAAAAAAAGAAAAGUAAGAGAAAAACGAACGUAGCGGCGAACCAACGCUCGUCAGGUGAAAAAUUCGUGUUGUUUAGCGAUCCUCACGGACACACGCCCGAGAAAAACGAAAGAAAAAAGAAAAAAAAAAACCGCUAGAAAGGGCUCGAGCUAUAGAAGACGUAACAAUGAAGUAAUAAGUUAAGCGAAUAGUGAUAACCGAUUAUAAGCCGUAAUACUAGAGAUAAGGGAUGAGUGGUGCGGGAGAGUUGUAACGUUGUAUCGAGGUGUUGCCACGAGAAGACGAGAGAUGGAAAUGAAGGUGAAGGAAAAAGAGGAGGGAAGAAAUAACGGGGAAAGAAUGAAAUAUCCUUGUAGACUGUAGAUUGUUUCUCGCCGACGGUUCUCUUCCUUUGUAUCUCCUUCUUUUUUUUUUACUUGUUUUUUUCUUCUUCCUCUCUUGUUUUUCCUCCUUUUCUAUUUAAUCUAGCGACGAGAACGAUGCGUUUCGAUGUGUAUUUAUUUUUAACCCGCGUCUCUCUUCCGGAGGGAACGACCAAUUGAUCGUGUGGCCGUAGCGUAUCACGACUUUUAUUUCGCGUCCAACGAAGCGUGCAUUUUUUAUUCGCUGCGAAACGCUGUGUGCUUUAUUGGCCGAAAAAAACGUGUGCACGCGUCGGAUUCGCAAGGUCCGAUUGAUUUUUCGAACGUAACUUUAAGAUCUCGGUCGCAGGAAUGGGAAUAAAAUUGAAAAAAAGAAGAAGCGAGAAAGGGAAUAGGAAUCGUGGCGGUUUUCCCAGCGGAACAGUGCCACUGUAUCACGGCCGGACUGAUCUGUUUGCGAAAAAGCUUGCUGCUGGCCUUUUUCUUCACGCGAGAUAUGACAGCGACUGAACCGUAUGAUUUUAACAACAUGCAAUAUGAUUCUUAAUCCCCUGCGUGGUGCGCGUCAAUGAAAUCAAUAUCGAGUACGUGUCUCGCUCGGUUUUUUUUUUUUUUUUUUACUUUGUCCUCUUUCUGUCUUCUUCUUUCUUCAAUUUUUUUUUUUUUAUAUCGAACGUGUACAUACGUACGUACGUAUGUGACACGACGAGUGUGCGAAGCGAUCGUGUUCACGGUUCGAUGAAACACACAGUGCGCGCGAAUGUAAGAUCGAUAGUCGUAAAACGAGAAAUGAAAGAAACGGCAGAUAUACGAGGAUCGAAAAUAAGUAUGCUGCCGAUAGAAUUUCGUAGAAUUAUCAAUGACACUUAGAAGACGACGUUUGUACGAUGAAAAUGAAAAAUACUCUGUACAAAAAAAGAAAGAGAAAAAAGAAAAGUGUGUCGUACACUCACGAACACGCACGCACGCAUAUAUGCAUAAAUAAUCUCCUCCCUCGAUCAUAACGAUGUUCGUUUUUUUCUUUUUUAUUCGCACGCGUACGUUUCUGCACGCACUCUCUUUAUCCUUGUGAUCCCGCGGAUCGUCUUCUGAAAGACGUGGUUCGUUCCACGAUAAUAUGUGUUUUGUAUUAUCGUUCGUUUUUUAGUCAACUUAAUACCCGCUUUAAGGCCUUUUCUAUAUUUUUUAAUCGCAUGAAUACUCGCCGCGUGUCUUGCGAGCGAAAAUUUCGUUCGAUCAUGUGCCGCUGCAACGGAGAGAGAGAGAGAGAGAAAGGGCAAAUGAAAAAUGAAUGAAAGAGUGUGUGAUAUGUGCGUGAAUGUGUGCACGCGAGGAGAGAAAGAGAAAGGAGAAUACAAUAACGUCUUUCACGCGUAAAAAUAUUUUAGCCUGUCAUCGUUCGCGCGUCAAUUGUAUCAUACAAAUCCCUCGAUUGCGUUUCCAUUAAUUACGCUCACACCUAAUUUUAAUCGAACCGAGUUCUAACGAUAUCUAUGACCGUCUUGUAUUUGAUUGUGUACCUCGAUUUGUAUAUAUAUACAUAUAUAAAGAAAGAUUAAAAA